rnacentral:rRNA from 1 species
UACGGAGGAUCCAAGCGUUAUCCGGAUUCAUUGGGCUUAAAGGGUGCGUAGGCGGAAUGAUAAGUCAGCGGUGAAAUCCCUCGGCUUAACUGAGGAACUGCCGUUGAUACUGUCAAUCUUGAGUACAUUUGAUGUGGGCGGAAUGUGUCAUGUAGCGGUGAAAUGCUUAGAUAUGACACAGAACACCGAUUGCGAAGGCAGCUCACAAAACUGUAACUGACGCUGAGGCACGAAAGCGUGGGUAUCAAACAGG